UACAGAGGGUGCAAGCGUUGUUCGGAAUUAUUGGGCGUAAAGGGCGCGUAGGCGGUGCGGUAAGUCUGUAGUGAAAUCUCUGGGCUCAACUCAGAGUCUGCUGCAGAAACUGCCGUGCUUGAGUGUGGGAGAGGUGAGUGGAAUUCCUGGUGUAGCGGUGGAAUGCGCAGAUAUCAGGAAGAACACCCGUGGCGAAGGCGGCUCUCUGGAACGCAACUGACGCUGAGACGCGAAAGCGUGGGGAGCAAACAGG
rnacentral:rRNA from 1 species